rnacentral:rRNA from 1 species
UACGAAGGGGGCUAGCGUUGUUCGGAUUUACUGGGCGUAAAGCGCACGUAGGCGGAUCGAUCAGUCAGGGGUGAAAUCCUGGAGCUCAACUCCAGAACUGCCUUUGAUACUGAGGAUCUUGAGUUCGGGAGAGGUGAGUGGAACUGCGAGUGUAGAGGUGAAAUUCGUAGAUAUUCGCAAGAACACCAGUGGCGAAGGCG